rnacentral:tRNA from 1 species
CAGAAAAUAGUUAAAUUUAGAAUACUGGCUUUGGGAGCCAGUGGUGGGAGUUAAAAUCUCCUUUUUCUGGCGCU